rnacentral:rRNA from 1 species
UACGAAGGGUGCAAACGUUGCUCGGAAUCAUUGGGCGUAAAGCGCACGUAGGCGGCUUCGCAAGUCGGAUGUGAAAUCCCUCGGCUCAACCGAGGACGUGCAUCCGAAACUGCGGAGCUUGAGUACUGAAGAGGAUCGCGGAAUUCCCGGUGUAGAGGUGAAAUUCGUAGAUAUCGGGAGGAACACCAGUGGCGAAGGCGG